AAAUAGCUGCAGGAUAUUAACUGUACAAAGGUAGCAUAAUCAAUAGUUUUUUAAUUAAAAGCUGGAAUGAAUGAUUUAAUAAGGUAAAUAUUGUCUCAAUUUUAAUAGAAUUAAAAUUUUUUUUUUAGUUAAAAUACUAAAUUAAAUUUAAAAGACGAGAAGACCCUAUAGAUUUUUAUAAUUUAAAUUAAUAAAAUUAAAAAAAAAAAAUAAAUUUUAAUAAAAAAUUAUUUGAUUGGGGAAAUUAUUAAAUUUAAUUAAUUUUAAUUAAUUUUAAACAAAAAUUAUUGGAUUUUUGAUCUUUAAUAAAAAUUAAAAGAAUAAAUUACCUUAGGGAUAACAGCGUAAUUUUUUUGGAGAGAUCUAAUUGAUAAAAAAGUUUGCGACCUCGAUGUUGAAUUAAGAUAAAAUUUUAAUGAAGAAGUUAAAAAAUUUUGG
rnacentral:rRNA from 1 species